GCACAUUCCCGUUUUAAACCUCUUGGCAAUCGCUCGUCGCGUUUUCGUUAAGCGUGAGUACCGAAAGAAGGCACAUGUUGUUGC
rnacentral:lncRNA from 1 species